rnacentral:piRNA from 1 species
CUCGCGUGCUCCGGGACUGGACCG